rnacentral:rRNA from 1 species
GAUGAACGCUAGCUACAGGCUAAACACAUGCAAGUCGAGGGGUAACGAGAGGGAAGCUUGCUUUCCUUGUCGACGACCGGCGGAUGGGUGAGUAACGCGUAUCCAACCUGCCCUUCAGUAAGGGAUAGCCUUUCGAAAGAAAGAAUAAUACCUUAUGUGAUCGUCUGAUGACAUCAGACGACGAUCAAAGAUUUAUCGCUGAAGGAUGGGGAUGCGUCCCAUUAGGCAGUAGGCGGGGUAACGGCCCACCUAACCUACGAUGGGUAGGGGUUCUGAGAGGAAGGUCCCCCACAUUGGAACUGAGACACGGUCCAAACUCCUACGGGAGGCAGCAGUGAGGAAUAUUGGUCAAUGGCCGUAAGGCUGAACCAGCCAAGUAGCGUGCAGGAUGACGGCCCUAUGGGUUGUAAGCUGCUUUUAAACGGGGAUAAAGUGAGCCACGUGUGGUUUAUUGCAGGUACCGUUUGAAUAAGGACCGGCUAAUUCCGUGCCAGCCGCCGCAGUAACAC